rnacentral:lncRNA from 1 species
GGUUUGACUACAUAAAAAUGUAAUAAUUUUUGAAUGGAAAAAACAUCCUUGGAGAAAAUAACCUAGAAAAACUAUUAGCAGCAACUAUUUCAGAGACAUUGCAUCUUCAUGGUCAAAGAAUUCAUAUAAGUUGACACCUAGAAUGCUAAAAUCCUAAUAGAAAAGUGGACCAAGUACAGAUUAGAAAAGUUACAAGAUAAUUUUUAACAUAUUAAAAAGUUCAAUUUAACUAGGAAUUAGAUAUGUACCCAUAAACACACCAAUGAUUUAAAUGAAGUUGUUGAGAUUUUGUUGAAUAUCCUUCCAGUCUGUGUUAUCUAUCCUAUCUGUACCUAUUGCUUGAUCUGUCCAUCUAUGUACUUACUUUGUAUGUCACUCUUCAUCCAUUUAGCUAUCCAUCCAUUUACACAUUUUUUUUGAAAAGAGAUCAUAAUGUAUACUUUUUUUUGUUUUUUCCGUUUAACGUAUUUUGAACUUCUCAUAUCAUUGUACGUUCAUUACGUUCAAAUCUUUGCAUCUUGUUACACUGCAUGGAUGUACCGUAGCUUAUUCAAAUGAGCUGUCUUACUGGGCACUUAUGUUGCUUACACUUUUUUAACAGUUACAUAUUGAACAUCAUCACACUGAUCAGAUUAUUUCUAAAGGUAAAUUUGGAAAGGUUGGUUUUGCUGUUUAAAAAGUGUGCAAAUGUUUCAGACUUUUGCUGCAUAUUGCUAAAUUAUUCACCUUUCUACCAGUAAUACAUCAGAGUAAGCACUCGCAAAUUCUUGUAAACACUGGCUAGUAUAGUUAGAAUUUUAUGUCAGUAAAAAUGAUUGGCAAUAUCUUACUUUUUUACUUCGCUUUUUUUGAUUAUUAAAGUGACAAACAUUAUUUUGUGGUUUUUGGUCAUUUUUUGGUGAAAUUCCUAAUCAUAUCACUUCUCCCAAUUUUUCCUUUGAUAUAUUAAUCUUUUCAUUAUUUAUAAAGGUUACAUUUAUAUUUAGGUAAAUAUGCCUUUGAAUUAUGUAGAUUUUUUUAUAGAGAGAAAUUUUUUAAAAUCUUUAAUUAACAAACUUACCAGCUUUGUGCUUCAUGGUUUCUACUUUCAGUGUUAUAAUUAUAAACCCCUACUGGAAACCAAGAUUAUAUUAACUAGAAGGAGAAUAUUUUGAUUCAUCUAUUCCAUUUUCCUCCAGGUUUAUAGUUGGAUCUUUCAUUAUAGAAUGUAUGAUCAAUGGGAUUUUUUAACAUAGAGCCUUAGAGGAAAACUCAGGACCACCUGGUUUUUAAUUAAAAUGAAUUCUUUUAGAAGAUUAUAUUGUGAAUAUAGCUUCCUAGUGACUUCCUUCUUAGUAUUCAAGUUGGGCUCACUGGAAGGACUGAAUUGUAUUAAGAUCUUAGGUUAGCAUAAUUAUUUUUAAUGUUAAUGUUUUUAUAUAUAGUGACCGAGUUAUUCUGGAUUUGACUAAGUAACAAUAUACUACUUUAGUAACUCACUUGAGUUUUGUUUUGUGAGGAAAUUUUAUUACUCAACAUUCAUAUCUUAGAAGGUCAAAUUAUUCUAGAAGAUACUGCUUUGAUUUUAGAGGAACAGGUUUAUUGAUCUGGUGAGAAAAUCACUGGUGAGUGAAUCCCAAGCAUUCACUAAAUUAGUAAAUUUAAAACAUGAUAACUGCUAUGGAUUGAAAGGUGAUCCUUGUUUUGAAGGAAUUGAAAAGGAAAAGUAAUCAAUACGUUUGUGAGAAGGUAUAUCAGGAUGCCUGGCUUGGCUUUUUCUAAACCACAUAACACUUCCCACUCUAUUCUACUGGCAUUGAGUGUAUUAUUAGUCGCAUGUGUGUUUGCAUUGGAAAGACAGUGAGUAUCAAUGCUCUAUCACCAAGGACAGUGUGUUUUAAUCACUUGGAUCUUCUUAAUAAAAAAUACAGAUUUUGAAUUUGUGGGUUUUGACUGGACCUGAGAUUCUGCAUUCCUAUUAAGUCUCCAGAUAAAAAGCACUGUGCUGGUUCAUAGACUCCUCCUUGAGUAGAAAGUGUGGAAAACUCUUGUAUUGACACUUUUACUUCUCCAUAAAUAAAGUAAUAGGUAAAACACAUGAAAUAGUAAAAUUGCAAUACAGUAAAAACAUUAAACAUCUUGUAAGUAUCAAGUAAAGCAAAUGCUUUUCUCAUGUUAAUGUUUCUUUGGUUACAGAAAGACCCAAGCUGAGAACCUAGAAGGGUAGAAGGAAAAUAUAUUUUUCCUCUUUUAUUAUGAAAGAAAACUGUCCACUCAGAAUGAAGUAAUAUGAAGAAAACUGAUGAUAAAUAUGUGCUGACAGAAUUAACUACCAACACUCUUACCAAAGAGAAUUUUAAAAUGAGUCCUUCAGGAAGAAAAGCAAUCCCAUUUUGAAAGUCUAAGAUUAAAAAAAAAAGGGUCUCCCUCUGCCACCUGGGAUGCAGUGCAGUGGCCUGACCACAGGUAAUUGCAGCCUCCUCAUCGCAGGCUCAAGCGAUCCUCCCACCUCAGCUUCCCAAAUAGCUGGGACUACAGACACACACCAUCAC